GCGUCUCCGGAUCCGGGAGCAGGGCCUCUGGGGCGGGUCCCGUCCCAACGGACACAACGGACCUGGUUCCGUGCAGCUGCGACUGCUUGGAGUGCUUUCCGGUGCUCCAGGUGCGAAGCAAAGGCACAAACCGCGGGCACCUUGCCACAGAAACCCAGCGCAGGAGCCAGGGCUGAGGAGCAGGAUGUCGGGGAUCCCCCCCUGCUCCCCGCGAGCGGCCUGGCUGGAGGAGGCUGGGGCCUCCCCGGCCUCCAGGCCCCGGCCGCAGCCCUAUGAGGAGAGUGAGGUGCAGCCACUGCAGGCGCCCUCUGGCUCAGGCGUGGGCCCUUCUGCCUCGGCCGCGCCGCGGCAGGAGGAAGAGGACGCCCUGAGCUUCAUCCGCGCUUGCUGCAGCCGCAGACCCAAGCGAGAGGCACAGAAGCUGAGGUUUCUGGCCUCCGUCUGCGACGCCUGCAAAGCCGCCGUCGCGGACCACACCACCUGGGACGCGGUGUAUUUCUGCCAGCUGGAGGUGGCGCAGAGAAUCAAGGUGAGGGGACGCCCUGCCCCGCGGGGAGCACCCUCUGGCUGGGUGCUGGGCACGGCCCUUCCCGCUGCAGGGCUGCGGGGGCCGCCGGGGAGCCCCAGGAGCCGGGAGGUGGCUCUGGUGGGGGCGCUGGGAUGGGGCAGCCCUGCAGGCCAGCCCCUGUAGNNNNNNNNNNNNNNNNNNNNCAGCCCUAUGAGGAGAGUGAGGUGCAGCCACUGCAGGCGCCCUCUGGCUCAGGCGUGGGCCCUUCUGCCUCGGCCGCGCCGCGGCAGGAGGAAGAGGACGCCCUGAGCUUCAUCCGCGCUUGCUGCAGCCGCAGACCCAAGCGAGAGGCACAGAAGCUGAGGUUUCUGGCCUCCGUCUGCGACGCCUGCAAAGCCGCCGUCGCGGACCACACCACCUGGGACGCGGUGUAUUUCUGCCAGCUGGAGGUGGCGCAGAGAAUCAAGGCGCUGCUGCAGGAGGAGCCCACCGAUCGCCUGGACACGGCGGUGCGGCAGAAAGCCAUGCUCGCCAUCGCCGCCAUGAGCAGAGCGGGGCUGCUGCCGCAGGACAGGACGAACGGCCUCCUGCGCGCCUGCCUCUGCAGCGUCUUCCACCUCCCUGGCCACGAGGACACGAGAGACACGGACACGUCUCUCUACUUCAAGACCGUGGAAGCCCUGGACAGCCUGCUGCAGGUGCUGGUGGGCAGCGCCGGCGCCUCCGGCCUCCUGGAGCUGCAGAACAUCUUGAAGCUCCUGCUGCCCUUCACCCAGCGGCAGCCAGAGGCCGUGGAGGAGAGGGCCAUGGCGCGGAUCGCCAGGCUGGCCGCCUUCAUCAACACCUGCUCCUUGCCCCAGGUAGGGAGCCCCUGGUGCAGGCAGCCCCGGCGCCCCCGUCCUCGCUCCGCGGCC
rnacentral:lncRNA from 1 species